CUUUUGCAUGCUUCACUGGGCCUCCCAGGUUAACAAACUCCAGCUGCAUCCACUCACCAGACACUUAUCCCUCAUCUGUCUGCUUCCAGCUCUGCAGACCCGACAGGAAAGUGCAGUUCUGGCCUUGGCUGAGAUGCUGCAGUGAUAAAGGCCAUGGAAAUACCUUUAGUUAAAAUAAACAGUAUCGCAUCAGCCUUUCCCAUUUUAGGAUACUAAAGUCACCAAAUCAAAAGUUUUGGCCUUCCCUCCCUGUCUCACCGUAAGAGAAUGGGGACAUGCUCAAGUCAGUUUAAUGCCUAAGAUGAGGAGUCUCUCUUGAUAGCUGGACUGUGAAACAGUUCUUUCAAGUUCUUUCAGAAAUUAGGAAAUGCCAUAUUUAGAGCAAUUCUGGAGAGUAAUUCUGUGAGUGCGCUGCAGCGGCAGGGGCGUGUGAAGAAGGGUCGGGUGCAUGUGCUGUCUGUAGCCCUAGGGCACUCCUGAGCUGGGUAAGUACCCUAGAAACCCAGCCAACAGCCAAGAGCUGCCUUUGAGGCUGCUCCUCCAUAGUUAAGUAAAGUACAUCUUUUUAUUUAUUUUUUUAUUUAUUUCCAGCAAGCACUUGUGGACCUUAAAAAGCAGAUGCACCAUGCAAACCAGCCAGCAGUUUGUGCUCUUUACCAUAAAGGUGUAACGAACCUUUGUGGAAGCUGUUGCUCUUCCCCAAGCUGCUUGUCGAUGUCCUCAGCACAUCCUCUUGAUAAAAAGUCCAUCACUGGGAAUGUAUCUACUUUUACCCUGAAGACAGGUGUGCCUGCAAGAUGUUACCAGAUUGCACACACUGAUGAAGGCAAGGAGUAGGACAGCACUAAAUUACACUCA
rnacentral:lncRNA from 1 species